UACGGAGGGGGCUAGCGUUGCUCGGAAUCACUGGGCGUAAAGGGUGCGUAGGCGGGUCUUUAAGUCAGGGGUGAAAUCCUGGAGCUCAACUCCAGAACUGCCUUUGAUACUGAAGAUCUUGAGUUCGGGAGAGGUGAGUGGAACUGCGAGUGUAGAGGUGAAAUUCGUAGAUAUUCGCAAGAACGCCAGUGGCGAAGGCGGCUCACUGGCCCGAUACUGACGCUGAGGCACGAAAGCGUGGGGAGCAAACAGG
rnacentral:rRNA from 1 species